rnacentral:rRNA from 1 species
UGGCGGACGGGUGAGUAACGCGUGGGUAACCUACCUCAUACGAGGGGGAUAACAGUUGGAAACGACCGCUAAUACCGCAUAACCCGCUAGUAUCGCAUGAUACGGAACGGAAAAGAUUUAUCGGUAUGAGAUGGACCCGCGUCUGAUUAGCCAGUUGCGGGGUAACGGCCUACCAAAGCAACGAUCAGUAGCCGGCCUGAGAGGGUGAACGGCCACAUUGGGACUGAGACACGGCCCAAACUCCUACGGAAGGCAGCAG